rnacentral:lncRNA from 1 species
GGAAUGUCCGAGGGCACCUGGGACAUUGUGGCAGCCAUGAAGGCACAUGGAGUGGACAAGGCCGUGGCCUGCACCUUGGCCCUCCUACUCUGGGACCCGAUCAAGUGCUCCCACGCCUACAGGACCUGACCGAUGACCACAUUAGGAUGCAUAAGAUUCUGCAGGAGUCGGGUCUGAAAUGCGUGGCUGUAAUGCCCCCACACAUUGGGUACCAACCACUAACCGGGGCCUACACAGUGACCCUGGAUGGACAAGGGCCCUCGAGGGUCAUAUCCAAGCAUGACCAGGGCCACUUCAUGCUUCUGUGCCUCACCGCCCAUGAGUAAGACAGACACAAGACCUACCCCUCCCACCAGUAUGACUAGGACCCUGACCCAGGGUCCCAUCCUGAGAAAUGGCAUACAUGGACGGAUCAAUAAAUUUUUAGCCAAGAACUUAAAAAAAAAAAAAAAAA